rnacentral:rRNA from 1 species
GACGAACGCUGGCGGCGUGCUUAACACAUGCAAGUCGAACGGAAAGGCCCUGCUUUUGUGGGGUGCUCGAGUGGCGAACGGGUGAGUAACACGUGAGUAACCUGCCCUUGACUUUGGGAUAACUUCAGGAAACUGGGGCUAAUACCGGAUAGGAGCUCCUGCUGCAUGGUGGGGGUUGGAAAGUUUCGGCGGUGGGGGAUGGACUCGCGGCUUAUCAGCUUGUUUGUGGGGUAGUGGCUUACCAAGGCUUUGACGGGUAGCCGGCCUGAGAGGGUGACCGGCCACAUUGGGACUGAGAUACGGCCCAGACUCCUACGGGAGGCAGCAGUGGGGAGUAUUGCGCAAUGGGCGGAAGCCUGAUGCAGCAACGCCGCGUGCGGGAUAACGGCCUUCGAGUUGUAAACCGCUUUCGCAUGUGACGAAGCGUGAGUGACGGUAAUGGGUAAAGAAGCACCGGCUAACUACGUG